rnacentral:rRNA from 1 species
UACAGAGGUCCCAAGCGUUGUUCGGAUUUACUGGGCGUAAAGGGUGCGUAGGUGGCGAGGUAAGUUCGAUGUGAAAUCUCCGAGCUCAACUCGGAAAUGGCAUUGAAUACUAUCCCGCUUGAGGGUCGGAGGGGAGACUGGAAUUCCUGGUGUAGCGGUGAAAUGCGCAGAUAUCAGGAGGAACACCGAUGGCGAAGGCAGGUCUCUGGGCAUUAACUGACGCUGAGGAGCGAAAGUGUGGGGAGCGAACAGG